rnacentral:misc_RNA from 1 species
GAUGAAGAACGUAGUGAAAUGCGAUAAGUAAUGUGAAUUGCAGAAUUCAGUGAAUCAUCGAAUCUUUGAACGCACAUUGCGCCCGCCAGUAUUCUGGCGGGCAUGCCUGUCUGAGCGUCAUUUCAACCCUCAUGCCCCUAGGGCGUGGUGUUGGGGAUCGGCCAAAGCCCGCGAGGGACGGCCGGCCCCUAAAUCUAGUGGCGGACCCGUCGUGGCCUCCUCUGCGAAGUAGUGAUAUUCCGCAUCGGAGAGCGAUGAGCCCCUGCCGUUAAACCCCCAACUUUCCAAGGUUGACCUCAGAUCAGGUAGGAAUACCCGCUGAACUUAAGCAUAUCAUAAGCGGAGGA